rnacentral:piRNA from 1 species
UAAUUCGGACUCAACGCCAUCUGGUAGC